UAACACAUGCAAGUCGAACGGGCAGUAGCAAUACUGCUAGUGGCGCACGGGUGCGUAACACGUAACUAAUCUACCUACAACUGGGGGAUAGCCCGCCGAAAGGCGGAUUAAUACCGCAUAACAUCCUUACCCGGCAUCGGGUGUUGAUUAAAGAUUUAUUGGUUGUAGAUGAGGUUGCGGGUCAUUAGCUAGUUGGCGAGGUAACGGCUCACCAAGGCGACGAUGACUAGGGGAGCUGAGAGGCUGGUCCCCCACACGGGCACUGAGAUACGGGCCCGACUCCUACGGGAGGCAGCAGUAGGGAAUAUUGGGCAAUGGGCGAGAGCCUGACCCAGCCAUGCCGCGUGCAGGAAGAAGGCUUUCUGAGUCGUAAACUGCUUUUGAUAGGGAAGAAUAAGCUGCUCGUGAGCAGUGAUGACGGUACCUACAGAAUAAGCACCGGCUAACUCCGUGCCAGCAGCCGCGGUAAU
rnacentral:rRNA from 1 species